rnacentral:rRNA from 1 species
UACGUAGGGUGCAAGCGUUAAUCGGAAUUACUGGCGUAAAGCGUGCGCAGGCGGUGAUGUAAGACAGAUGUGAAACUCCCCGGGCUCAACCUGGGAACUGCAUUUGUGACUGCAUCGCUGGAGUGCGGCAGAGGGGGAUGGAAUUCCGCGUGUAGCAGUGAAAUGCGUAGAUAUGCGGAGGAACACCGAUGGCGAAGGCAAUCCCUGGGCCUGCACUGACGCUCAUGCACGAAAGCGUGGGGAGCAAACAGG